rfam:Ovis aries breed Texel chromosome 3, whole genome shotgun sequence.
UCCCUGGUGGUCCAGUGGCUAAGACUCCUUGCUUUGAAAGCAGGGGGCCCAGAUUCAAUCCCUGGUCAGGGAA